rnacentral:rRNA from 1 species
AGCGACGACGGGUAGCCGGCCUGAGAGGGCGACCGGCCACACUGGGACUGAGACACGGCCCAGACUCCUACGGGAGGCAGCAGUGGGGAAUAUUGCACAAUGGGCGGAAGCCUGAUGCAGCGACGCCGCGUGAGGGAUGACGGCCUUCGGGUUGUAAACCUCUUUCAGCAGGGACGAAGCGCAAGUGACGGUACCUGCAGAAGAAGCGCCGGCCAACUACGUGCCAGCAGCCGCGGUAAGACGUAGGGCGCGAGCGUUGUCCGGAUUUAUUGGGCGUAAAGAGCUCGUAGGCGGCUUGUCGCGUCGAAUGUGAAANCCCGAAGCUCAACUUCGNGCUUGCAUUCGAUACGGGCAGGCUAGAGUUCGGUAGGGGAGACUGGAAUUCCUGGUGUAGCGGUGAAAUGCGCAGAUAUCAGGAGGAACACCGGUGGCGAAGGCGGGUCUCUGGGCCGAUACUGACGCUGAGGAGCGAAAGCGUGGGGAGCGAACAGGAUUAGAUACCCUGGUAGUCCACGCUGUAAACGUUGGGCGCUAGGUGUGGGGAGCCUCUCCGGUUCUCUGCGCCGCAGCUAACGCAUUAAGCGCCCCGCCUG